ACGGGGUGCAGCAGGCGCGAAAACUUUACAAUGCGGGAAACCGUGAUAAGGGAACUCCGAGUGCCCGUAAAAUCGGGCUGUCCACCAGUUUAAAUAACUGGUGAAGAAAGGGCCGGGCAAGACCGGUGCCAGCCGCCGCGGUAAUACCGGCGGCUCGAGUGGUGGCCACUAUUACUGGGCUUAAAGCGUUCGUAGCUGGUCUGUUAAGUCUCUGGGGAAAUCUACUGGCUUAACCAAUAGGCGUCUCAGGGAUACUGGCAGACUAGGGACCGGGAGAGGUGAGAGGUACUCCAGGGGUAGGAGUGAAAUCCUGUAAUCCUUGGGGGACCACCUGUGGCGAGGGCGUCUCACCAGAACGGCUCCGACAGUGAGGGACGAAAGCUGGGGGAGCAAACCGGAUUAGAUACCCGGGUAGUCCUAGCCGUAACGAUGCGCGUUAGGUGUAUCGGUGACCACGAGUCACCGAGGUGCCGAAGAGAAAUCGUGAAACGUGCCGCUUGGGAAGUACGGUCGCAAGGCUGAAACUUAAAGGAAUUGGCGGGGGAGCAC
rnacentral:rRNA from 1 species